rnacentral:lncRNA from 1 species
UUUCCUCCUGGCAAUGAGGAAUCAUCAAAAACAGUUUUGGCGGCAGAGAAGUAUGAGCUGAGCUGUAUUACAGCCAUCUCCUUGACAGCCACCUGGAUGGGUUCUGGUGGAUGAUACUGUGACCUAGAGACAAGUAGAAAGCUGUUGCCCUGGUCCAAGUGGGAGGUGAUGAAGUCCUGAAAUAGGGAAGUGGCAGUAGAAUGAAAAAAAAUGGAAAGGUGAGGUAUGUUAGAGUAGAGAGAUGAGCCCUGGUGACUAUUAGGUAAUGAAGGAGAAAAAGGGAAUUAACAUGACACCAGACUUUUGGCUUAAGCAAUUUGGUAAAUGAUAAUGCAACUAACCAAACAGAAAGUAAUGUAGGAGGUGAAGAAGACUACUAUUAGUGGUGGGGAGAAUGUGAUUAGUUUAGUUUGGGAUAUGUUGAGUUUAAACCUCCUGUUAGGUGGAAGAUGUUAGGCAAGCAGAUAAAAAUAUAUGUCUGGAGCCCUGGGGAAAAGUCAGGGCUGGAGGUACCAAUUCAGGAGUUGUGUAACAGUUGCAGUCAUGAGUUUGGUUUGGCUUAACCAGAAAAGAAUGAGGAAACAAAAGAUGAAGCCUGGAAAACACCAGUUGUGUGAGUCCCCUGUAGAGUCCAUUCUGAUGGAACCUUCUCUGGGAGUUAUAGGUCAAGAAAUGCUGUUUUUGUUGGCGACUAAAAGGCUCAGGGGUCACUCCAGGUAAACUGGGCUGACUGGGCUGAGCAAAAUAACCGCACAAGAGACACAAAAUACCUUUUGCUUUGGGGUCGCUGUGACGGCUCCUCUGACCUUAAGGGUCAGCACGAAGAGAGAGAGCACUCGCUGACCCCUUUUAUUGAGGAGAAGCUAUUCAAAUGAGGCAAGGGGUCAGGUUUCAGGGGGCUGAGUCUAUCUUCAUGAUGUCCACUGUCAGCAGGUUGACUGACAUCUAAGUAGGCUGCACCCAAGGGCACAGUAAGAGAAGGGGACACACACACAAGGCACUUCUAUGGAAGACUCUAUCCUAAACAGGACAAGGGGUUAUAUUACAAAGGAACAGGUGAGCAUAGCUCCACCCAUGGGGCUGUUGGAAGACACACCCAUGCACAAGACACUGUGGAACCCAAGAAGGGUUGGGAAAGUCUAGCAGAUUGCUGCCCCAUGCCUCAGCACCCAGCCGGGAGUGUGACUCAGUCACGUGCAAGGUUGGUCUCCCACAAAGAAAUUUGAGGUUGCAAAUGUAUUCCUUUCCAGAUAACUAGGAUUUGUGUCAGAUCUUUCCAUUUCAAGAUAAGGUAAAACUGCUAAAGGCCUUUUCUUUCCCUGGGGGAGAUACUUUUACACCAAGUAAUUUCAAGUGUUGGGAAAAAAAGUCACAUUUAAAGUUGGUUUCCAUUUCUACUCU